AAAAAUGUUGGGAUAUGUGAAGAAAAUAUUUUUUUACUGAAAAUUGAAAAUCAUUUAACAGGCUAGAAAUAUGGGGAAAGGGGACAGUAGGUAAACUCUACACUGCUGUAGAUGUACAGCAGAGCCAAAUCAUGUCAAUCAAAAAAUAAUUUUUUAACUAGGGUUAGAAAAAGGUAAAUUAGAUUAGAUAUGUUUACAGUGGUUUCAGUAUCCAAACACAUACACAGUAUCCAAAGGUUUCAUACACAUCCAUUCAAUAAAUAAUUUUUUUUUAAAUAAGGUUAGAAAAAGAUAAAAACUUAUCUUUUAGCACAAUCAUCAAGUGCAGUAUCCAGGAGCAAGGAGAUAGUUGAUUCUAAAUUACUUCCAGCGAGGAGAUUAGAUUUUGCUUGGUCAUAUGUGUUAGACACCUCACUG